UGGAGAGUUUGAUCCUGGCUCAGGAUGAACGCUAGCGGCAGGCCUAAUACAUGCAAGUCGAGGGGCAGCACGGGUAGCAAUAUCUGGUGGCGACCGGCGCACGGGUGCGUAACGCGUAUGCAAUCUACCUUUAACUGGUGAAUAGCCCGAAGAAAUUCGGAUUAACACACCAUAAUAUAUUAGAGUGGCAUCACUUUAAUAUUAAAACUCCGGUGGUUGAAGAUGAGCAUGCGUGACAUUAGCUAGUUGGUGAGGUAACGGCUCACCAAGGCUACGAUGUCUAGGGGAUCUGAGAGGAUUAACCCCCACACUGGUACUGAGACACGGACCAGACUCCUACGGGAGGCAGCAGUAAGGAAUAUUGGACAAUGGUGGAAACACUGAUCCAGCCAUGCCGCGUGAAGGAUGACGGCCCUAUGGGUUGUAAACUUCUUUUGUACGGGAAAAAACCUCUUUACGUGUAAAGAGCUGAUUGUACUGUAAGAAU
rnacentral:rRNA from 1 species